AACGAACGCUGGCGGAAUGCUUUACACAUGCAAGUCGAACGGCAGCACGGACUUCGGUCUGGUGGCGAGUGGCGAACGGGUGAGUAAUACAUCGGAACGUGCCCAGUCGUGGGGGAUAACGUAGCGAAAGCUACGCUAAUACCGCAUACGAUCUACGGAUGAAAGCGGGGGAUCGCAAGACCUCGCGCGAUUGGAGCGUCCGAUAUCAGAUUAGGUAGUUGGUGAGGUAAAGGCUCACCAAGCCAACGAUCUGUAGCUGGUCUGAGAGGACGACCAGCCACACUGGGACUGAGACACGGCCCAGACUCCUACGGGAGGCAGCAGUGGGGAAUUUUGGACAAUGGACGCAAGUCUGAUCCAGCCAUUCCGCGUGCAGGACGAAGGCCUUCGGGUUGUAAACUGCUUUUGUACAGAACGAAAAGGUUUCUAUUAAUACUAGGGGCUCAUGACGGUACUGUAAGAAUAAGCACCGGCUAACUACGUGCCAGCCGCCGCAGUAA
rnacentral:rRNA from 1 species